rnacentral:lncRNA from 1 species
CUGUGCCUCAUCUUCAGCUUGUCGUUCCUUAUGUCAACGCUAGCAAAAGUGAUGCCGCUGCGAAGGAAGUUCAUAAGUUCUGAACAAUGCUUGUCACUACUGUAACAGAAACAAAUUAAAAUGGAACAAAUGUUACAUACUCCUGCAAUAAGGAAACAUGUUUCACCACAACUAAAGAGAAAAUUAUCUUUAGGAUUCAAAUAGAACAUAUACAAUGGAACCUAGAGAGAUCACUAUAGCUAUUCAAUGGAACCUAGAAAUAUCACUAGCUAUAUGCAAUUUUCAUGACUAUGACAUAUCAUAUUGCUAUCCAAUGGAACCUAGAGAGAUCACUAGCUAUAUGCAAUUUUCAUAAC